AAUAUUGGAUAAUGUGCGAAAGCCUGAUCCAGCAAUGGCGCGUGUGUGAAGAAGGUCUUCGGAUUGUAACGCACUUUCAGUUGGGAGGAAGGGCAGUAAGUUAAUACCUUGCUGUUUUGACGUUACCAACAGAAUCAGCACUGGCUAACUCUGUGCCAGCAGCCGCGGUAAUAUGGAGGGUGCAAGCGUUAAUCGGAAUUACUGGGCGUAAAGCGCGCGACGGUGGUUCAGUAAGAUGGAUGUGAAGUCCCCGGGAUAAACCUGGAAACUGCUUUCAUACCUGCUGAGCUAGAGUACGGAAGAGGGUAGUGAAAUUUCCUAUGUAGCGGAGAAAUGCGUAGUUAUAAGAAGGAUCACCAGUGGCGAAGGCGACUACCUGGACUGAUACUGACACUGAGGUGCGAAAGCGUGGGGAGCAAAC
rnacentral:rRNA from 1 species